UACGGAGGGUGCAAGCGUUAAUCGGAAUUACUGGGCGUAAAGCGUGCGCAGGCGGUUUGUUAAGUCUGCUGUGAAAUCCCCGAGCUCAACUUGGGAAUUGCAGUGGAUACUGGCAAGCUGGAGUACGGUAGAGGAAGGUGGAAUUCCCGGUGUAGCAGUGAAAUGCGUAGAGAUCGGGAGGAACACCAGUGGCGAAGGCGGCCUUCUGGACCAGUACUGACGCUCAUGCACGAAAGCGUGGGGAGCAAACAGG
rnacentral:rRNA from 2 species